GUCCUGGGAUAGCUCAGUUGGUAGAGCACGAGGCUCUCAGGGUUGUGGGUUCCAGCCCCACCUUGGCCA